UACGAAGGGUGCAAGCGUUAAUCGGAAUUACUGGGCGUAAAGGGUGCGUAGGCGGUUGUUUAAGUCUGUCGUGAAAUCCCCGGGCUCAACCUGGGAAUGGCGAUGGAUACUGGCGAGCUAGAGUGUGUCAGAGGAUGGUGGAAUUCCCGGUGUAGCAGUGAAAUGCGUAGAGAUCGGGAGGAACACCAGUGGCGAAGGCGGCCUUCUGGACCAAUACUGACGCUCAUGCACGAAAGCGUGGGGAGCAAACAGG
rnacentral:rRNA from 1 species